rnacentral:lncRNA from 1 species
CUUCAGAUCCGGAUCUGAGGAUAUCUCAGAUUUUGGUAUAGCCGUGCACAUGUUCGACCUCUACAGAUAUCCAUACGAGGUCUAAUUUGAUUAGAGGCUCUUUGAUCUCCUCGGAGUACUAGCUCCUUUGCAGAGAUCGCUUCUUUGAUGGUUGAUUAGGAUCUUCUUCAAUCUUUAAGACUAGAUUUUGACAAGGUCAAUCACCUUAUCAAACUACGACUCCAAUUUUAAUUUAAAUUUAAACUAAUUUAAAUUUAAAUCAAAUCUGAUCUGAUCCUAAUCCAAAAAAGAGAUAAGAGAGGGCAUGUAAGGGCUUUGGCAUGGUGUUUUUGUGGUGCAAAAACCAAGAGGGCGAUCCUUUUCUAGGCGUGAACAUGGGAUGGCACAAGGAGAUAGAAUCCCAG